rnacentral:lncRNA from 1 species
GAGCACGGCGGAGCCGCCGUGCCGGAGUUGUGAUUUGGGCCGAAAGAGGCCCUGGGCCUAAUUUGGAUUUUUUUUUGGAACACGUGCAGGUACUGUUAGUGUGUUUCAGUUCCCCGGAAAAAAUUCAGGGAAAAUUAGGGACGGCCUGCAGGCGCACUGUGAAUCGUAUUCGGAUCCCGAAAACAAGUAAGGACCCCUCACCCUAUUUCCUAUCACGGUAUUA